ACAGAUAUGAUGAAACUGGUAAACAUAUUAGAUUUAGAUCCUAAUGAAAAAUAUUCUUGCGGGUUCGAAUCCCGCUAUCUGUA
rnacentral:tRNA from 1 species